CAGGGUCUCGCUCUGUGUCCCAGGCUGGAGUGCAGUGGCACAAUCACGGCUCACUGCAACCUCCACCUCCUGGGCUCAAGUAAGCCUCCCAUCUCAUCCUCCCAUGUGGUGGUUGGGACUACAGGUGCACACCACCAUGCCUGGCUAAUUUUUAUAUUUUUGUAGGAGUGGGUCUCACCAUGUUUGCCCAGGCUCGUCUUGAACUCCUGGGCUCAAGCGAUCCUCCCACCUCAGACU
rnacentral:lncRNA from 10 species